AUUGAACGCUGGCGGCAGGCCUAACACAUGCAAGUCGAGCGGAUGACGGGAGCUUGCUCCUUGAUUCAGCGGCGGACGGGUGAGUAAUGCCUAGGAAUCUGCCUGGUAGUGGGGGACAACGUUUCGAAAGGAACGCUAAUACCGCAUACGUCCUACGGGAGAAAGCAGGGGACCUUCGGGCCUCGCGAUAUCAGAUGAGCCUAGGUCGAAUUAGCUAGUUGGUGGGGUAAUGGCUCACCAAGGCGACGAUCCGUAACUGGUCUGAGAGGAUGAUCAGUCAAACUGGAACUGAGACACGGUCCAGACUCCUACGGGAGGCAGCAGUGGGGAAUAUUGGACAAUGGGCGAAAGCCUGAUCCAGCCAUGCCGCGUGUGUGAAGAAGGUCUUCGGAUUGUAAAGCACUUUAAGUUGGGAGGAAGGGCAGUAAGCUAAUACCUUGCUGUUUUGACGUUACCGACAGAAUAAGCACCGGCUAACUCUGUGCCAGCCGCCGCGGUAA
rnacentral:rRNA from 1 species